rnacentral:rRNA from 1 species
AAUCAACGCUGGCGGCGUGCCUAACACAUGCAAGUCGUACGCGAAAGGGGCUUCGGCCCUGAGUAGAGUGGCAAACGGGUGAGUAACGCGUGGGUGACCUGCCUUCGAGCGGGGAUAACGUUCCGAAGGACGCUAUACCGCAUGACAUCCUGUCUUUAGACAGACGGAGAUCAAAGCCGGGGAUCGCAAGACCUGGCACUCGAAGAGGGGCCCGCGUCCGAUUAGCAGUUGGUGAGGUAAUGGCUCACCAAGGCGACGAUCCGUAGCUGGUCUGAGAGGACGACCAGCCACACUGGGACUGAGACACGGCCCAGACUCCUACGGGAGGCAGCAGUGGGGGAAUAUUGGACAAUGGGGGCAACCCUGAUCCAGCAAUGCCGCGUGUGUGAAGAAGGCC